rnacentral:lncRNA from 1 species
UAAACAAUCUUAAUUAUGACUUUAUGAAACUUGUUUAUUCGUCUAUAAGAUGUUUUGUUGUCAUGGUGCUAGCCAAUAAAAUAAAACUAAGUAAAUAGAACAUUGUUAGAAUUUUGAACAAGAUUUAGUUUUAAAAUGUGUCUUGUCCUUUUUUCAGAAUGUUCGUAGAGGGUCCAUUUCUAUAGCUUUACUUUGCAUUUUAGUACUGACUACAUCCGCGGGUAUGUUCUUUUAAUUGUAAUUAUUUAUUUUAAUGAGAUUGCAAAAUACAAUCAUAUUACGUUUGGGUUUGGUGUCCAUUCUGGCUACUAAAAAGCACAGUUCACUUAUUAUUGCUUGUGAUGAAAGCACGAUUUCAAUUAUACAUUUUGUUUUCAAUUUCCAGUUGAGCAUGCUAUUACUCUCACGCAAGGUUGGCUUAUCAGACUGUUUUGACUGUUAUAUUUGAACUCAUUUUGAUAAAAGAUUUAUGAGUUUUAUGGUUAUUUUGGUUAGAUCAUACCUUGCGAAGUAAAAUAACAAAAAAUCCGAAAUCCGAAAUAUAAGGAAAAUUUAAAACGGAAAGGUUUUUCUCAAAUGUCAAAAUCAAAAGCUCUAACACAUCUAACGAAUGGAAAACAAGUGACAACUCUUAUAUUCCUGACUUGUUACAGGUAUUUUAUUUUGUCGAAAAAGGUGGAUACAACCUGGUUAUUUUAUCUAGCCAACCUCUCGCUUGUAUGACAGCUGCAUAGAAUUUCAUAAUAUUGAAAACAUUUUGUGAACAAAACAAACAGACAUAGAAGGUUGAAAUGUCAACAUUAUGCUAUUAUUUUAAAAUCACUUUAAAACUAACACCUAUGUCACCAAAGAUCAACUAAAUGGUAUAUAGACACUCUAAAAACCAACACAUACGAAAAAAAGACUACAAGAAAAUGAAUAUAGCACAAGAAAACAAUGGUGGGAUGUAUAAAUACCGAGUCAUGCUAAAAAGAUAUCACCACAAUGAAGUAUUAUAUAGUAAAGGUUCAAAUGGUAUUCAAGAAACUCGAAUUAUAAAACGUAUGUGCAUAGAAAUCAAAUCACCUCUGUCUUGGCUAACAUUGUAGGAAUUUCACAAUAAAUUUUACAAAAUUACUGUAGUUUAUUUCAAUCAUAUUUCAUUGUAUUCCUAAUUCAUUUGAAGGACGUGCUGAUAGGACCAAAAGAUCAUUCUUGAAUAUGUACAGUCAGAUCAGUCAUUUGUUUGAAAUGGGUUAUACGUUUGGGAAUUAUCUUCGAGACUAUGGAUGUUGGUGUGGAGUUGGCGGAAGCGGUACACAUCAAGACAACAUUGAUAGGUGAGAUGCUCUUAUUUUACAGAUGUCAGAACAUCUUAAAGCGAGUACGAGCAAUCCAAAGAAGUAUAAUUAAAUGAGCAACCUGUGCAAAGUAGGAGAAAAUUAACCCUUUUUCCGAUUAUUUUGUUGUCCAUAGAAAACAUGAAACAUAUGCUUUUCUCCCAUUUGAACCAAUUAUUCGCUUUAUUUUACUUCUUUUAACUGCACUUUCGUACCGAGUACCAGAAUGUCAUACCACAUAGAAGGUAACCUGUCGAGCAGUUAUAGUAAUAGAAAUAGAAAUAGAAAUAUACUCUGGAGACAAAAGUCGGUAAUAUAAAAAAAUAUAUUCUAUGACGCUAAUGUAUUAUGAAUAUAUUUAGCGUACUGAUUAUGAUUUAAAAUCUACAUAUCAGUUUUAAAUUAUCAGAUCAUGUUUGUUCAUGUUGCACGCCACUACGAUAUAAUAUUUUGAGGUUCAACUUUACCCGAACACUUUUGUCAGUUUCGGUACUUGAUAUAAGACUCGUGAGGGUAAAAGGGGAAAAAAUACACAUAUGUGAAUCCGGAAAUAAAUUUUAAAUGCAUCACUCCAUGAUGACCUCAAUUAUGAUAAAGAGGAAAACUGUGAAUUUACAGAUUUUAGACUCAGAAAGCUAUGAAAAUAACAAGAAAUGGUCUUUAUGCUUAUCCCUAUCUUACAUCGAUUAUACCAAGCUCUGAUUCCUUUGACGGAUUUGGCUAACUUUUUGCAUUUUGGAUUAGAUCUUUUAUAUAAGAUGUGCAUCUGGUGCAAGAAAAUUGAUACCGUUAAUUUUAUUAGACAACUUUCAACCAAAAUUUGUUGGGUUAAAUUAGUUAUGAAAUGUCUCUGAGAUUGCGGUUUUAUGUGUUGUUCUUUAAUUACGUCGCCUAUUCCUAUCUUUAUGUAUUCUUUACUUUUUAGCACCCUGAUAUUGUCUUACCAUUUUUUGGUUCCUUUUGUCUGUAUUUGUUCAUUGUCCAUAUCUUUGUUAAUUAUCAUCUAUCCUGUAUAUCCCAAUUAAAAAGACAAAACAUUAAACAAGCAAGUGGACUCAUUCAACCCCGUAGAUGUUCUUUUUAUCAAAAUCGUUUACAAAAGUUACCUUCAAAACAUAAAACAAAAUAAAAUAAAUGAAUACUUUGUAGAUGUUGUAUGGUACAUGAUAGGUGUUAUGAUCAGAAUAGUAGGGAUGGAUGUAGUGGUAUCCACCUAGAUGAUUACAGCUACGAGUGGACCAGUGUGUCGAUCAGAUGUACAAGUAAGUACAUGUAGUCUCAAAAACAACCUUUAUUUUAUAUUUUUAAUAUACAACGUUUACAUAACAUAUUGAAAACACAGCGUUGUCAAUAAGACUUUUUACUGAAAUACUACGUAAACACAAAAAAAUGUAUGUAUCUGUAUCAUGAAUUAAAUUUAAAGGAUGACACUAGCUGUACAAUGACUAUAAAUUGUACAUAGAAAUUAAUGGUUGUUGGUAAAAUUGCUAGCAUGUAGAUUAGUCCUUCUGUGUUGGGUUAAGUUAUAUAGUUAAGUAUGCUGUAAAAUAAAAUUUAUCCUAUAUCUAAAGCACUCUAAACGUUGUAGAAUUAAUUAUCAUGAAUUGCAAACAUAAUUUUUUGGAAGUUCAGAAUUACUAGUUUUGUGAAGUUUUGAAAGAAUUCCUGGUCACGAUAGAAAUGUUUAAUAGAUAUAGGCAGAUGUGGUAUGAGUGCAACUUAUUUUCACCGAUCAUGUCAUCGCAACUCCUUCUACGUUGUAUAUCGUAUUUUGUUGAAAAGUUCAACGGUGUUUAAAAGUAACAGAACUAAAUCAUUAUGCAGAUGUAUAGUAUGCUAAGAGUGUUUGUAGAGUAAUGGCCCUUUAAACAAUUGACUCUGUUGCGUAUCUUGUUCUGAUAACACCACAAUACUGAUCUUUGUAUUGUAGUCUCUAGCAUAUUUAAUCAUCAAUUCGGGAUCCAGGGAUAAGGAAAAAUCUUAGCGUACAGUUUAGUUUGUAUUCUUACAUGUUUGCACACAUACACAUUUCACUUGUUACAUAAUUGUCAACCAGGAUUAAAUGUUUUUUCCUUUUCAUUUUCAGAUAGUCCCGGAUCUUGCGAUUAUAAAAACUGCAACUGCGACAAGGAAUUCUUGGAAUGUUUGAGAAGUGCAGGUUUCCCACGGACUUUUUUACCUGGACUUCGAAACUUCAACAAAUGUUGAUCAAUAUGAACAAUCUGAUUUAACUCACAGAAUGAU